rnacentral:rRNA from 1 species
GACGAACGCUGGCGGCGUGCUUAACACAUGCAAGUCGAACGGAAAGGCCCUGCUUUUGUGGGGUGCUCGAGGGGCGAACGGGUGAGUAACACGUGAGUAACCUGUCCCUGACUUUGGGAUAACUUCAGGAAACUGGGGCUAAUACCGGAUAGGAUCUCCUGCUGCAGGGUGGGGGUUGGAAAGUUUCGGCGGUUGGGGAUGGACUCGCGGCUUAUCAGCUUGUUGGUGGGGUAGUGGAUUACCAAGGCUUUGACGGGUAGCCGACCUGAGAGGGUCGACGGCCCCAUUAGGACUGAGAUACGGCCCAGCCUCGAACGGGACGCAACGGUGGAGAAUAUUACACAAGGGGCGGGGGCCAGGUGUGGCACCGCAACGUGCGGGAUGACGGCCUUCGCGUUGUGAACCAAUUUCGCCUGUCACGAGGCGUGAGUGACGGUAAUGGGUAAAGAAGCACCGGCUAACUACGUG